rnacentral:tRNA from 1 species
UCCCUGGUGGCUCAGAUGGUAAAGAAUCUGCCUGUGAUGCAGGAGACCCAGGUUCGAUCCCUGGGUCGGGAA